rnacentral:rRNA from 1 species
AUUGAACGCUGGCGGCAGGCCUAACACAUGCAAGUCGAGCGGAUGAAGGGAGCUUGCUCCUGGAUUCAGCGGCGGACGGGUGAGUAAUGCCUAGGAAUCUGCCUGGUAGUGGGGGAUAACGUCCGGAAACGGGCGCUAAUACCGCAUACGUCCUGAGGGAGAAAGUGGGGGAUCUUCGGACCUCACGCUAUCAGAUGAGCCUAGGUCGGAUUAGCUAGUUGGUGGGGUAAAGGCCUACCAAGGCGACGAUCCGUAACUGGUCUGAGAGGAUGAUCAGUCACACUGGAACUGAGACACGGUCCAGACUCCUACGGGAGGCAGCAGUGGGGAAUAUUGGACAAUGGGCGAAAGCCUGAUCCAGCCAUGCCGCGUGUGUGAAGAAGGUCUUCGGAUUGUAAAGCACUUUAAAUUGGGAGGAAGGGCAGUAAGUUAAUGCCUUGCUGUUUUGACGUUACCAACAGAAUAAGCACCGGCUAACUUCGUG